rnacentral:lncRNA from 1 species
UGCUUCUGCAAGGAGCUUGGCAACUGAUGAGACGAAGGUCCAAGAGGAUGGUCGCAAUCAGUUUGAGAGAGCUAAAGCUCACAAAUCAACAAUGGAGGCUGCAAUUUCAGAGGUGGGAGGCUUGCUGUUAUUAUUUGGCUUCCUUUACCUGAUGAUACUUCACAAAUACAUGUAAAUGGUUGUACCAAACCUGUUGUCCUAGUUUUGUCUCACUGCACUACUGAUUGUAACUGGCCCUUUCGCCCCUUCUAUAUUACAGUUCAAUCGCAAGCCAGCAAAGGGGGUCGAGUAUUUAUUGUCAAAUAAGUUGAUUGAAAAUAAGGCAUCAUCUGUAGCUCAGUUUCUCAAGAGCAAUGCCAGCUUGGAUAAGGUGAUUUCAUGGAAUUUAAUGUUCUUUGUGCUGUUGCAGUUAUUGGUCAGAGCGAUGUGGCUACCCACUAACUUUGAUGAGCUGUAACUUUGCAGGUAAUGAUUGGUGAAUAUUUGGGACAGCAUGAGGAAUUUCCCCUUGCUGUGAUGCAUGCUUAUGUCGAUUCCAUGAAGUUUUCGGGGUUGAAGUUUGAUGCCGCAAUUCGCGAGUUCCUCAAAGGAUUUCGCCUUCCUGGGGAGGCACAAAAGAUUGAUCGCAUAAUGGAAAAAUUUGCUGAGCGGUAUGCAUUUGUAGAAUCUUAAUACAGUUUUUCUUUGACAUUUUCUAUUGUGGUCCUCAAAUAAUUAUGUGAUGACUUGCAGGUACUGUGCUGAUAACCCCGGGCUCUUUAAAAAUGCAGAUACUGCUUAUAUUCUUGCUUAUGCUGUUAUAAUGUUAAAUACUGAUGCACAUAAUCCAAUGGUAUGGCCUAAGAUGUCAAAAUCAGAUUUCGUACGUUUGAACACUGCAAGUGAUGAAGAGGAAUGUGCUCCUAAGGAGCUCUUGGAGGAACUUUAUGAUUCAAUUAUCAAUGAAGAGAUAAAGAUGAAAGAUGAUCUUCAUGCGGCAAAAACUAGUAAAGUAAGACCUGAAAUAGAAGAAAAGGGUCGCCUCGUCAAUAUCCUCAAUUUAGCUCUCCCAAGACUGAAAUCAGCAAGUGAUACAAAGGCAGAAAGUGAAAAAAUUAUUAAGCAGACCCAAGCAGUUUUCAAAAACCAGGGACAGAAGAGGGGUGUUUUUCAUGUUGCUCAGCAGGUUGAGCUUGUUAGACCAAUGGUCGAGGCUGUAGGAUGGCCUUUGCUUGCAACAUUUUCUGUAACUAUGGAGGAAGGUGACAACAAGCCUAGGGUUGUAUUGUGCAUGGAAGGGUUUAAGGCUGGUAUUCAUCUUACUCGUGUUCUUGGGAUGGAGACCAUGCGCUAUGCUUUCUUGACAUCCUUAGUGAGGUAAGAAAAUUAACCCUUUCUAUUUAUGAAUAUGCAUUGUUUAUUUCUUUAUUUUUCCCAUUUAAUUAUAUGGAUGUAAUGGUGUCUUUUCCUUCAUUAACCUUUUGCAGGUUUACAUUUCUGCAUGCUCCCAAGGAAAUGCGUAGUAAAAAUGUUGAGGCAUUGCGAACUCUCCUUGCCUUAGCUGACACGGAUAUGGAUGCUUUGCAAGAUGCUUGGAAUGCUGUUUUAGAAUGUGUCUCAAGACUCGAGUAUAUCACUUCAGUUCCUUCAAUGGCCGCAACUGUUAUGCAGGGAUCAAAUCAAAUAUCAAGGGAUUCUGUAGUUCAGUCACUGAAAGAGUUGUCGGGGAAGCCUGCUGAACAAGUGUUUGUAAACAGUGUAAAACUACCAAGUGAUUCUAUUGUUGAAUUCUUCGAUGGUCUAUGUACUAUUUCUGCUGAAGAACUUAAACAGACACCUCCUCGUGUCUUCAGCUUGCAAAAGCUUGUUGAAAUAAGCUACUACAAUAUGGCACGGAUACGUUUGGUAUGCUUUUGUCUAUCAUUGUUUGCAUUAUGCUUCCUAUUGUUCUCUUAGCAAUUCUUGUGUUAUUUCAUGAGACUUAAUUUUCAGUGACAUAGUGAAGAGAUAAAUAAGUAGGUCGAAAUUGCUUACUUUCUUACUAUUAUAUGCCAUUGUAGAGGAUGCUUCAUUGAAUCAGGCAAUAUCUUCAUUCUGUGAGAAAGAUUUUUUAUUUUUUAUUCAAAGAAGAACUAACAUAAUUUUAUAUUAUGUUAGAAAGGCCUGCUUAUUUUUCAUUGAGAGCAUUAUGGGGGCAGGGGAGAGUUGAGACUGGUUUAUUCAGAAUUGUUUUUGUUUAGCCAUUGGCCAUUGGCCAUUCAGUUUAUGCCCAUGUAAACUAUAGAAUGACCCUAAUUUCUAAAUAUAUGAAGUUGUGGAUAUGCACCUAAUUGGUGAGCGUCCUUGAAUUUUACUCAACUGAGAGCCUGAACACCUAAUUUUUCAAGUUCUUCUGGAUGAAGGGAUGCACCCCUACCUGAUUUUUUUAAGAAAUAUGCUGUUUUACUGAAAUAUACAAUCGAACUGGGUACAAUCUACUGGAAUCUCUAGGGCGUGCUGAAAUCACAAUUUACUAUAUAAUUGGAGGUGAUUACCGGGUACCACUGCAAACAGGUUCAGUAGGGUUUAUUUACCAUUCUGUUUAGGGUCGCCGUGUUCAGCCAAUUGUCAGAUGGCCAUCUUUCCCUUCAAGAAAAAAUAGGAAAAUAAAAAGAAAAUCACUGUGCUGAGGAAUUUUAUCAAUAACUUGAUGGAGAUGGGCCUGCGAUUGUGUGCGGAGUGAGCAGAUACAGCAGCAUAUGCAGCCACCUCAGGUACAGUCUUGGAGGGUUGGUUUCUGGCUCGGCAGGAGAUAGGGGGCCACACCUGGGUUCAGCCCUUUCUGUGGUAUACCACAUGUGCACUGGGAAUGAUGUGCAGCAGUGGAGCGAGCACAUGUGAAUGGUCUGCGUAGGGGGGAUGGCGUCCCAAUUAAGUGGGGGAGAAAAAGUAAACUUCAUAGAAAAUGCGUGGGGAAAGUUUGGGCCUUUCUCAAAUAUAUGUUUGGCAAGUGGUAGAAAACGCCAUAGCUUAUGUGAAGCAGCACAAAGUUGUGGAUGAGCAACUUCACCUUGCUGCUACAAUGUGUGCAGCACAAGUGUUGAAGGAACAACUUCAACGUGCUGCGCUAGAUAUUGCUCUAGAGGCGAAUAUAGGCCGAUAGGGCAGCAGGAGUUCAAUCCAAAACUCAUAGAACGCUAGAUCUAGUCCAAGAUCUUAGAUAAGAACACCAAGUUCUAUUAUAGGCAGUGGGGGUACAUAGUCUCCCUACAAACUAGAGGUGAGGACCUCUAUUUAUAGGGCUUUGGGAAGCCUACACAUACUUCUACUUAUGGCUA